rnacentral:rRNA from 1 species
GCUUCUCCGGAUGAGUUGCGAACGGGUGAGUAACGCGUAGGUAACCUGCCUGGUAGCGGGGGAUAACUAUUGGAAACGAUAGCUAAUACCGCAUAAGAGUAGAUGUUGCAUGACAUUUGCUUAAAAGGUGCAAUUGCAUCACUACCAGAUGGACCUGCGUUGUAUUAGCUAGUUGGUGGGGUAACGGCUCACCAAGGCGACGAUACAUAGCCGACCUGAGAGGGUGAUCGGCCACACUGGGACUGAGACACGGCCCAGACUCCUACGGGAGGCAGCAGUAGGGAAUCUUCGGCAAUGGACGGAAGUCUGACCGAGCAACGCCGCGUGAGUGAAGAAGGUUUUCGGAUCGUAAAGCUCUGUUGUAAGAGAAGAACGAGUGUGAGAGUGGAAAGUUCACACUGUGACGGUAUCUUACCAGAAAGGGACGGCUAACUACGUGCCAGCAGCCGCGGUAAUACGUAGGUCCCGAGCGUUGUCCGGAUUUAUUGGGCGUAAAGCGAGCGCAGGCGGUUAGAUGAGUCUGAAGUUAAAGGCUGUGGCUUAACCAUAGUACGCUUUGGAAACUAUUUAACUUGAGUGCAAGAGGGGAGAGUGGAAUUCCAUGUGUAGCGGUGAAAUGCGUAGAUAUAUGGAGGAACACCGGUGGCGAAAGCGGCUCUCUGGCUUGU